GAAACUAGCUCACUUGGUAGAGCACAAGACUCUUAAUCUCAGGGACACGGGUUCAAUCCCCACAUUGAGCA